rnacentral:rRNA from 1 species
UACGGAGGGUGCGAGCGUUAAUCGGAAUUACUGGGCGUAAAGGGUGCGUAGGUGGUUUGAUAAGUUAUCUGUGAAAGCCCUGGGCUCAACCUGGGAAGGCCAGAUAAGACUGUUAGACUGGAGUAUGGGAGAGGGUAGUGGAAUUUCCGGUGUAGCGGUGAAAUGCGUAGAGAUCGGAAGGAACACCAGUGGCGAAGGCGGCUACCUGGCCGUGAUACUGACACUGAAGCACGAAAGCGUGGGGAGCAAACAGG